rfam:Oryza nivara chromosome 3, whole genome shotgun sequence.
AAAAAGGCAAACCGUGGGUUUCCGUGCCAACGUUUGACUGUCCAUCUUAUAUGAAAAUUUUUUAUAAUUAGUAUUUUUAUUGUUUUUAGAUGAUAAAACAUGAUUAAUAUUUUAUGCAUGACUUAUAUUUUUAACUUUUUUCAUAAUUUUUUAAAUAAGGCGGACGGUCAAAGAUUGAACAACCAGUUAGU